rnacentral:rRNA from 1 species
UGCCAGCAGCCGCGGUAAUACGGAGGGUGCGAGCGUUAAUCGGAAUUACUGGGCGUAAAGGGCGCGUAGGCGGAAUGGUAAGUUAGAAGUGAAAAUUCAGGGCUUAACCCUGGACCUGCUUUUAAUACUGCCGUUCUCGAGUGCGAGAGAGGAAAGCGGAAUUCCCGGUGUAGCGGUGAAAUGCGUAGAUAUCGGGAAGAACACCGGUAGCGAAGGCGGCUUUCUGGCUCGUAACUGACGCUGAGGCGCGAAAGCGUGGGGAGCGAACAGGAUUAGAUA